rnacentral:rRNA from 1 species
GUCUACGGCUGUACCACCCUGAACGUGCCCAAUCUCAUCUGAUCUCAGAAACUAAGCAGGGUCGGGCCUGGUUAGUACUUGGAUGGGGGGAUUUGUAUAGCUUGCAGGAGGCU